rnacentral:lncRNA from 1 species
GUGGCAGAUUUUUUUUAUCCAUGGGCUACUGAAAUUGAAUGCAAAUUUGGAAUCCCAAGGCUAGUCUUCCAUGGAAUUGGUGUCUUUCCUGUGUUUAUCACAGCUUAAACCGCAGUGAACCUUAUAAGAACAUUGAAUCUAACUCGGAGACCUUCAUUGUGCCUGAUCUUCAGACACAAUAAAGAUGACAAGACUUCAAUUGCCAGAUCAUUCAAGAGAAAUAACUGAAAACGACUUCGCCAAUAUGAUCAAAAGGGCUAGGAAUUCAGAACAGACGAGCUAUGGAGUGAUUGUGAACAGUUCCCAUGAGCUAGAAGCCUAGAACUAGCUUAUUCAGAAAUUUAUCCAAUGUUCUAAAAGGAGCUAGGCGGGCGGCAGGGGGCCUGGGCGAGAUUUUUGAUUUUAAGCCAAUUUUAAUAUUUUAUCUUACAUUUAUCCAAACAAAACAAUAAUAUAAAGCAAAACAAUCUAUAAUAAAGAUAAUAAAGGUCUUUGCUUAAAGUUUAAACACAUAUCUUUAACGUAUUAGUUUUAUUCAUAAACAAGAUUACUAUUAAAUAAUAAAAUUUCAAAUUUCAAUAAUUCAAUUCAAUAUUAAAACUUAAGAAACUAAACAUAAAUUUAAGAAUUAUAUUGAAUUAAACUAAAUAUUACAAAUGUAUCAUCAUUUAUAAUUUGAAGUUAGUACAAGUUCAAAAAAUUACAACAAUAAUAAAAUUAUCCAUUUUAUUAUAGCUUGAUCUUGUUCACUUCUUGUUGUGAUUUGAUAUGCUACAACCUGUAUUACGAAUAUGGUAAAUCAUUAAAAAAAUAAAUAUAUCAAGAUUUGGUAUGGAUAGUUAUUAAAAAAUUUUAAAAAAAAAACCUCUCUACCUAGGCCCAGCCUAAUUUCCUGAAAGAAUUUUUUGGCCUAGGCGAGGCGCCAGGGGGGCCUAGCGCCUAGGCGGGGCCUAGGCAGCUGCCUUUUAGAACACUUAAUUUAUCAGAAGGUCAUAGGAAGACGUGCGUGGCUUAUCGGUCCAGUUUCACUCUGUAACAAAGACAGUGAGGAUAAAUCACAAAGAGGUAACAAGGUCUCAAUUGAUGAAAAUGAGUGUUUAAAUUGGCUCAUCUCCCCAAAAAAAAUUUCUGUUUCCUACAUAUGUUCUGGAAGCAUGUCCAAUUUUUCAGCUGCACAGCUACAUGAGAUAGCAUUGGUCUUGAAGCUUCCAGACAGCAAAUUAUUUGGGUGGUGAGGAAAGAGAAAGAGAACGAUGAAGAACAGGAGAGGUGGUUGCCUGAAGGAUACAAAAAAAGGAUGGAGGACAAGGGUUUAAUAAUAAGAGGGUGGGCGCCCCAAGUUCUAAUCCUUGAUCAUGAAACGCUCCUGCGCCAAAGCAAUUACAAUUUGAAACCAUGUAAAAGCUCAUAUAUGCUGGAUUUCUAUGAUUUUUAAUAUAUUAUCUUGUUGAGAUAUCUCCAAUAGCCUAUAUCGCCUACUUCUUGUAUGAUUGAGGUAACCAUCGACUCAUCUUGAUAAUUAAUUAAUUUUAAUAAAUAAAUAAAUAAUAAUGCUUACCAACCAUUUUCAAACUUAUUUACUCAAAUUAUGUAUCACUUCACCUUUAUGGUCCAUAUCAAUAUUAUAUUUUUUCAGUUUCCCUUUCGGUUUGUUAUUUAGUUUUUUAUAUACACAUGUAUGUAUUUUUUAUUACAUGUAUUUCCAUUUAUUUAUCCUGUUUUAUUUUCUUCUUUUUAUCCUUUUAUUUCUUCUUCUAACCUUUUUCAACCUACCCAGCUCCGAUAAUAGGCGUUGAGUAGUUAAGUAUAUUUGCCCAUACACUUCGUAAAACUCAAAAUGCAGCAAGGAACACAUAAAAUACACCCCGCAAUAAUACGAGCAAUAAUUCAAAAGAGAAACAGGUAGAUAAUAGAUUCAUCCCACUUGCAGUUUUCCUCAUUGACAUACCAAAUAUACAAUACAUAUGUCUGAUAAAUAAUACAUGUGUGUUUGUGCGUGUAGAAAAAGAUAAAUAAACAUACAAAUUAUGCAACUUACAAUAAUUCAAGACAAAUCCACUACAGAUAAUUUGUCAGCAUCCACUCCUGCAAAAUUGCCAUUGAAAACACAGAUUUAUACAGCAAAACUUGGGUCAUAACUGUGCAAAUUGCGAGCAAAAGAACAGAAUUGUAAAACUUGAUUGGGAGAAAAAAACAAAUAUCAUACUUGCUUCAAUAAACAACUAAAACAAUUACAUGAAAUUCAGUGAAACUUUGAAUACAGGAAAGUUUAUUAAAACUAAGAAAAUAAUGGGUUGAUGACCGACACUUGUUGAUAUGAUUUAGAUCCCAAAAUAUUCAGAAAUCAAAUUAAACAAAUAUGGAAACAGGGGUGGUGACUGACCAUAUUUCACAGUAAAAAAAUAAGAAAAAGUGAAAUUUUUUUUUCAUUUCGGAGCAAAUUAAGUGAGAAAUUUACUUCAGAUUACGGCAAUUGGGAAUUUCCACAAAGAUUGGAAAUUUAUUUUCCUCCUAAUCGUCGGUCGGAGGUCUGUAAGAAUCAAGCUGCCAUCACAGAAGAAACAGUCAAUAAAAAAAAAAGGUUCAGCAGUUCCUUUAAUUUCUAGUCAAUCAAGCGUUGAUCUUCAAAAUUGCAGAGCUUCUGGAGCAAUCAAAGCGUUGAUUUUCAAAAAUCCAAGCUUUACUGGCUGAAGAGUUCGAUAUUCCCACCAGCCAAGACAAUUAGGCUCAACUGUUAUGGGUCCCUACUACACGAACCCACAUUCUCAAUAUGGAGUGUCCCGUGGCUCGGACACAGGGGAAUGCUUCAGAUGAUUUAUUAGAUUGACC